rnacentral:tRNA from 1 species
GUUUAAGUAGCAGAGCACGGUUACUGCUGAAGGCCUAAGCCCUUCUUACAGAGGUUCAAAUCCUCUCUUCAACU